rnacentral:rRNA from 1 species
AUACGUAGGUGACAAGCGUUAUCCGGAUUUACUGGGUGUAAAGGGAGCGUAGGCGGGAGUGCAAGUCAGAUGUGAAAUGCAAGGGCUUAACCCAUGAGCUGCAUUUGAAACUGCAUUUCUUGAGUGAAGUAGAGGUAAGCGGAAUUCCUGGUGUAGCGGUGAAAUGCGUAGAUAUCAGGAGGAACACCGGUGGCGAAGGCGGCUUACUGGGCUUUUACUGACGCUGAGGCUCGAAAGCGUGGGGAGCAAACAGGAUUAGAUACCCUGGUAGUCCACGCUGUAAACGAUGAUUACUAGGUGUGGGGGGACUGACCCCUUCCGUGCCGCAGUUAACACAAUAAGUAAUCCACCUGGGGAGUACGGCCGCAAGGUUGAAACUCAAAUGAAUUGACGGGG